UGAAUCCGCGCGGGAGAGUCCCCAGCAGUCCAUCGCUGGGGCGCCGAAGGAGCAAGUCCCUCCCUUGAAUCUCUCAGGCCCCGUUACCGCGCGGGCGAG
rfam:Streptomyces caeruleatus strain NRRL B-24802 genomic scaffold PRJNA299234_s003, whole genome shotgun sequence.